UAGAACCCAUUUCCAUUGAUAUCAAGUAAGUCAAGUUGAAAGAAACAUAGUCUAGAGUAAAAUAGUUAGGCAAGUUGAAAAUAGAAUUUAUUAAAUUCUUAAGUUUUGUUGUGGCCAAUUUCUUGAUUCUCAUAAUCUCCUUUUGUGGAUUAAUGGUUUUGGUUUAGAUAGAAGAGCUCAAAAGGUUUAUUAACUUUUUCCUAAUAAUAUACAUUGGUUUUUCAGAAAUAACAAUCGUGCAAUUAUAUUUUUAUGAUGGUACUCCAUUUUGUAAUUACGAUAUCAGGUGUGAAAUUGAUAACCUUUAAGGGAGCAAGCUUCUUUUGCAAGCACUUUUUGAUUUUGAUGUUUUCCCUGGAUGUCUGGUUCAUAGAGUUAGUGCAGGUUGUACUCACCAUAGUCUAUCAGCAACUCCCUUUAUCCCCUCUCUUUAUUUCUGUAUUGUUAAAUUAAUCUCGAUUAGGCAUGUUAGCUGUUAUCUAAAUGUUGAUUUUGAUAUUAUGCGGCUUGGGCCAAUCUACUGAUGAUGUUUACAUAAAUAUUAAUGCAGUAUUCUGUCCAAGAGUUAUUCUUUCUUUCACACCUGUUUGUCUGGCCAUCAGGUUCAUUGUCACGUGCUAUAUUAUCAUAGGUCAUCGUCUUCUGCAUGAUUGACUAUAACCAGUUCUGGUCGCUUGCUCAGGAGUAGUGGCCAGUACCAUCCAGCCAUUGUUCUGAUGAAGACCACAUACCAGCUCCACGUUUGGCAAAGAUUCCUUGCAAGAUGAUGUUUAGUAUCAUGCUAGAGGACCUGGGUCUUCAAGAUAUUUGUGCGCCGGGAUUUGGUGGCUGGAUGAGGAAGAGGUGAGUGGAGGGUCUGAGCGCACCCCACGCCUCUGCUCGUCUUCUUCACUUCUAUCCAUGACUUCCCCGGCGGUGGCGUGGCGCCUGGUCUGCACACCGAACGACUCCUCUCCCCUUGCCAACAACUGAGUUGCCGGAGAAACCAGAGCAAGAGGUGGAGCUGAGCAGGAGCUGCGGCCUGAUGGACCAUGGAUGAGCGAGGUUGCGACCUCCACGCCCGUCCAGUGCACGAACAUGUCCCAGGAGCUGGACCAACGUGUUCGGCGGCGAGCGUAGUCAGUCUUGAGACUAAGGUGAGUUUACCAUCCAUCUUUCUUCACCUUUGCUUCCUGUCUCAAAUAGAUUUCCUGAAGCAUAUUUUUGUGAGGUCGCAAGGUGUGAAUAGGUCCUCAAGGUUUCCUGAAGCAUAUAUUUGUGCAUGAUCUGUGGCAUCUAACAAAGGUAUUGGAGAGCUGAGGCGGGAUCCAAAGAUACCAUGGCCUCUAUUUUCUUAGCCUUUGGUGGAUUAUGCAUGAGUAUUAUACUAAUCUCUGAAUCCAUUUACUGUGCAAGGGUAAUUAUUUUGAUUGAAAUAUGUUUUUGUGCAAAUGGCAGAUGCCCAAUUGAUAUUAUGUGUAUUUGAAAGCCAUAAGGAAUAUAGUGGUGAAGGAGUUGACACUGUCGAAUGCGUCGGUUACUAUCCAGCCAUGAAUGUGAGGCGGGGAGUGGCGCUCCGCAUACUAGCGCGUGCAUCUCAUAGCAUGUACUAUGAGGCUAGGUAGACGAGCUCCUGCGUUUAUUUUGCUCUGCAGCGGAAUAAGAUGCAUAAUAUCUUAACAAGAUCAGGUCGCUUUUGCUGCGGAUGACAAUGUCGUAUUUGGGGCAUCAAGCAUGUUAAACCCAAACUGGUCAUCUGACCGAUCAAUUGAGUAAUGUUAGUUGUAAGACGAAUCACUAAGACAUAGAAGAUACUUUUGUACAGAGCGCCUUGGUUCCCUGACACCCAUAUUAUGUAAUUUUGU